CCUACGGGUGGCAGCAGUGGGGAAUAUUGGGCAAUGGGCGCAAGCCUGACCCAGCAACGCCGCGUGAAGGAAGAAGGCCCUCGGGUUGUAAACUUCUUUUAUCAGGGACGAAACAAAUGACGGUACCUGAUGAAUAAGCCACGGCUAACUACGUGCCAGCAGCCGCGGUAAUACGUAGGUGGCAAGCGUUAUCCGGAUUUACUGGGUUUAAAGGGCGUGUAGGCGGUUCUGCAAGUCAGAGGUGAAAUCUCAUGGCUCAACAUUGGAACUGCAUUUGAUACUGUAGAGCUUGAGUGAUGGUGCGGCAGGCGGAAUUCAGUGUGUAGCGGUGAAAUGCGUAGAGAUAAGGAGGAACACCAGUGGCGAAGGCGGCCUGCUGGACAUUAACUGACGUUGAGGCGCGAAAGCGUGGGGAGCAAACAGGAUUAGAUACCCGGGUAGUC
rnacentral:rRNA from 1 species